AGAGGUCCCGCCUGCCCUGUGAUAAUUAUUUAACGGCCGCGGUAUUUUGACCGUGCAAAGGUAGCGCAAUCACUUGUCUUUUAAAUGAAGACCUGUAUGAAUGGCUUGACGAGGGCUUAACUGUCUCCUUUUUCCAGUCAAUGAAAUUGAUCUUCCCGUGCAGAAGCGGGAAUAUAACCAUAAGACGAGAAGACCCUAUGGAGCUUUAAACUAAAGCAGAUCUUGUUAAACGCAUCUAAUUAAAGAAAUAAACCUAAAAGAACCCUGUCAUUUAUGUUUUUGGUUGGGGCGACCAUGGGGAAACAAACAACCCCCAUGUGGACUGAGAAAACAGUUCUCACAACAAAGAGCCACAGCUCUAAUUAACAGAACUUCUGACCUUNGAGAUCCGGCAAUGCCGAUCAACGGACCCAGUUACCCUAGGGAUAACAGCGCAAUCCCCUUUUAGAGUUCAUAUCGACAAGGGGGUUUACGACCUCGAUGUUGGAUCAGGACAUCCUAAUGGUGCAGCAGCUAUUAAGGG
rnacentral:rRNA from 1 species